CAAUAGCGUAUAUUUAAGUUGUUGCAGUUAAAAAGCUCGUAGUUGGAUUUCGGUUGAGAGCGGCCGGUCCGCCGUUUGGUGUGCACUGGCUGGUUUCAACUUCCUGUAGAGGACGCGCUUUGGGCUUAACGGUCUGAACGUGGAGUCUACGUGGUUACUUUGAAAAAAUUAGAGUGUUCAAAGCGGGCUUACGCUUGAAUAUUUCAGCAUGGAAUAACACUAUAGGACUCCUGUCCUAUUUCGUUGGUCUCGGGACGGGAGUAAUGAUUAAGAGGGACAGUCGGGGGCAUUCGUAUUCCGUUGUCAGAGGUGAAAUUCUUGGAUUUACGGAAGACGAACAUCUGCGAAAGCAUUUGCCAAGGAUGUUUUCAUUGA
rnacentral:rRNA from 1 species